AGUGAACGCUGGCGGUAGGCCUAACACAUGCAAGUCGAACGGCAGCACAGUAAGAGCUUGCUCUUACGGGUGGCGAGUGGCGGACGGGUGAGGAAUACAUCGGAAUCUACUUUUUCGUGGGGGAUAACGUAGGGAAACUUACGCUAAUACCGCAUACGACCUACGGGUGAAAGCAGGGGAUCUUCGGACCUUGCGCGAUUGAAUGAGCCGAUGUCGGAUUAGCUAGUUGGCGGGGUAAAGGCCCACCAAGGCGACGAUCCGUAGCUGGUCUGAGAGGAUGAUCAGCCACACUGGAACUGAGAACCGGUCCAGACCCCCACGGGGGGCAGCAGUGGGGAAUAUUGGAAAAUGGGCGCAAGCCUGAUCCCGCCAUACCGGGUGGGUGAAGAAGGCCUUCGGGUUGUAAAGCCCUUUUUUUGGGAAAGAAAAGCAGCAGGUUAAAACCCCGCUGUUCUGACGGUACCCAAAGAAUAAGCACCGGCUAACUGCGU
rnacentral:rRNA from 1 species